AGUGGAGGUUUGAUAACAAACCUGGAAGCAGUGUCCCUGCUCUGAGAGCAUUCCAGGGGCUCCAGGCACCCAACAAGCUCCGGGGAGCAGGGGUUUAGGAGGGAGGCGCUCAUCCUGGUGUGUUGGACAUGUGUGGCCUGGGCUGAAGAUCCAGCCUGGAGCUGUGUGCUUGAUACACAAGCCCUCUACCCUUGAGCCACAUUCCCAAGCCUUGGAGUUCUUCCUGAGCUUGCAGAAGCCAGGAGAGGCCUCAGAGAAGUGAAGUUACAGAUGGUUGUGAAUCAUCAUGUGAGUGAUGAGAAGGAAACCAGUUCUCUGUGAGACUACCACAGUCGACCCCACCGUGUUCUCUGACAUCACGGCCGAUGACGAGCCCUUGAAGAGUCUCCUUCCAGCUGUUUGCAGACAAAGUUCCAAAGACAGCGGGAAACUUUCAUGCUCUGAGCACUGGAGAGAAAGGAUUUUACUAGAAGGGUUCCUCCUUUCACAGAAUUAUUCCAGGAUUCAUGUGCCAGGGUGGUGACUUUACAUGCCAUAAUGGCACUGGCGGCAGAUCCAUCUAUGGAGAGAAAUUUGAGGAUGAGAUCUUCAUCCUGAAGCAUACAGGUCCUGGCAUCUUGUCCAUGGCAAAUACUGGACCAACACAAACGGUUCCCAGUUUUUUAUCUGCACUGCCAAGACUAAGUGGCUGGAUGGCAAGCAUGUGGUGUCUGGGAAGGUGAAAGAAGGCAUGAACAUUGUGGAAGCCAUGGAGUGUUUUGGGUCCAGGAAUGGAAAGACCAGCAAGACCAUUUCCGACUGUGGAUAACUCUAAUUUCUUUUGACUUGCAGGCAUUUUACCCAUCCAACCAUUCCUUCUGUAGCGCAGGAGAGCAUCCCUACCCCAUCUGCUUGAAAUACCCUGUAAUCUCUGCUCAAGUUCUUUGGGUUCCAUAUUUUCCUCAUUCCCCUUCAAGUCUAGCUGGAUGGCAAAGUUAAGUUUAUGAUUAUGAAUAAAAACUAAAUAAGAAAAGAAA